UGGGGAAUUUUGGACAAUGGGCGCAAGCCUGAUCCAGCCAUGCCGCGUGCAGGAUGAAGGCCUUCGGGUUGUAAACUGCUUUUGUACGGAACGAAAAGGUGCCUUCUAAUAAAGGGCGCUCAUGACGGUACCGUAAGAAUAAGCACCGGCUAACUACGUGCCAGCAGCCGCGGUAAUACGUAGGGUGCGAGCGUUAAUCGGAAUUACUGGGCGUAAAGCGUGCGCAGGCGGUUUUGUAAGACAGAGGUGAAAUCCCCGGGCUCAACCUGGGAACUGCCUUUGUGACUGCAAGGGUGGAGUGCGGCAGAGGGGGAUGGGAUUCCGCGUGUAGCAGUGAAAUGCGUAGAUAUGCGGAGGAACACCGAUGGCGAAGGCAAUCCCCUGGGCCUGCACUGACGCUCAUGCACGAAAGCGUGGGGAGCAAACA
rnacentral:rRNA from 1 species